rnacentral:RNase_P_RNA from 1 species
GGCCGCCCGAGACCCCUUGCAAAUGAGAAAUUCGGAGGAAUCUUCAAAACCCAAACCCGCGCCGUCGUUCUUCAUUGCGCGUCGGCGCCGGUCCUGCCCGCGAGGGCCUGGUGUGAUCCUAGAGCGACCUAGAUCACUUUUACCACACCUGCACUUGGCAUCAGAAACAUCGGGGGGAUGGAAAAGAGGCCUUGCGGUCUCCUUUCUUGAGCCCCAUGGGAGAGUCGGUGCGGAGAUUGUGUGUGAUGACACUUUAGUGCAAUACGCAGCAUACCUUGCUCUGCUUUCUUCCAUUGGAGGGGAGUGGAUGGUAUCAUUCGAUUCCGAUCAUUCUGGUGGGGAU